rnacentral:rRNA from 1 species
UUGAGAGCGGCGGACGGGUGAGUAAUGCCUAGGAAUCUGCCUGGGAGUGGGGGAUAACGUCCGGAAACGGACGCUAAUACCGCAUACGUCCUACGGGAGAAAGCAGGGGACCUUCGGGCCUUGCGCUAUCAAAUGAGCCUAGGUCGGAUUAGCUAGUUGGUGGGGUAAUGGCUCACCAAGGCGACGAUCCGUAACUGGUCUGAGAGGAUGAUCAGUCACACUGGAACUGAGACACGGUCCAGACUCCUACGGGAGGCAGCAGUGGGGAAUAUUGGACAAUGGGCGAAAGCCUGAUCCAGCCAUGCCGCGUGUGUGAAGAAGGUCUUCGGAUUGUAAAGCACUUUAAGUUGGGAGGAAGGGCAGUAAAUUAAUACUUUGCUGUUUUGA